GACGAACGCUGGCGGCGUGCUUAACACAUGCCAGUCGAACGAUGAAGAAGAGAAACGCGAACUUCGGUUCAAAUUUCACUUCGGAUUAGUGGCAGACGGGUGAGUAACGCGUGAGCAACCUACCUCUUACAAAGGGAUAGCCUCGGGAAACCGUGAUUAAUACCAUAUGACACAUUCAUAAGGCAUCUUAAGAAUGUUAAAGCUACGGCGGUAAGAGAUGGGCUCGCGUCCCAUUAGCUAGUUGGUGAGGUAACGGCCCACCAAGGCGACGAUGGGUAACCGGCCUGAGAGGGUGAACGGUCACAUUGGAACUGAGACACGGUCCAAACUCCUACGGGAGGCAGCAGUGGGGAAUAUUGCACAAUGGAGGGAACUCUGAUGCAGCGACGCCGCGUGAGCGAUGAAGGAAUUCGUGUCGUAAAGCUCUGUUCUAUGGGAAGAAAAGGACUGUACCAUAGGAGAAAGCCCCGGCUAAAUACGUG
rnacentral:rRNA from 1 species